rnacentral:rRNA from 1 species
CCUACGGGAGGCAGCAGUGAGGAAUAUUGGUCAAUGGACGGAAGUCUGAACCAGCCAUGCCGCGUGCAGGAAGACGGCUCUAUGAGUUGUAAACUGCUUUUGUACAAGGGUAAACCUGAAUACGUGUAUUCAGCUGAAAGUACUGUACGAAUAAGGAUCGGCUAACUCCGUGCCAGCAGCCGCGGUAAGACGGAGGAUCCAAGCGUUAACCGGAUUUAUUGGGUUUAAAGGGUGCGUAGGCGGAUUGAUAAGUUAGAGGUGAAAUGUCCGAGCGUAACUCGGGAACUGCCUCUAAUACUGUUGAGCUAGAGAGUAGAUGCGGUAAGUGGAAUGGAUGGUGUAGCGGUGAAAGGCUUAGAGAUCAUACAGAACACCGAUUGCGAAGGCAGCUUACCAAUCUAUAUCUGACGUUGAGGCACGAAAGCGUGGGGAGCAAACAGGAUUAGAUACCCUUGUAGUC